CACGCCGUAAACGAUGAGUGCUAGGUGUUAGGGGGUUUCCGCCCCUUAGUGCUGGCGUUAACGCAUUAAGCACUCCGCCUGGGGAGUACGGCCGCAAGGCUGAAACUCAAAAGAAUUGACGGGGACCCGCACAAGCGGUGGAGCAUGUGGUUUAAUUCGAAGCAACGCGAAGAACCUUACCAGGUCUUGACAUCCCGCUGGCCGCUAUGGAGACAUAGCUUUCCCCUUCGGGGACAGCGGUGACAGGUGG
rnacentral:rRNA from 1 species